rnacentral:rRNA from 1 species
UACAGAGGUCUCAAGCGUUGUUCGGAUUCAUUGGGCGUAAAGGGCGCGUAGGCGGCCAGCACAAGUCAGUUGUGAAAUCUCCGAGCUUAACUCGGAAAGGUCAACUGAUACUGUGCGGCUAGAGUGCGGAAGGGGCAACUGGAAUUCUUGGUGUAGCGGUGAAAUGCGUAGAUAUCAAGAGGAACACCUGCGGCGAAGGCGGGUUGCUGGGCUGACACUGACGCUGACAGCGCGAAAGCUAGGGGGAGCGAACGGG